GGGGCUAUGGCGCAGUUGGUAGCGCACCUGCUUUGCAAGCAGGGGGUCGUCGGUUCGAGUCCGUCUAGCUCCA
rnacentral:tRNA from 1 species